UCCUACGGGGGGCAGCAGUGGGGAAUAUUGGGCAAUGGAGGAAACUCUGACCCAGCAACGCCGCGUGAAGGAUGAAGGUUUUCGGAUUGUAAACUUCUGUCGCGAGGGACGAAGAAUGACGGUACCUCGUAAGAAAGCCCCGGCUAACUACGUGCCAGCAGCCGCGGUAAUACGUAGGGGGCGAGCGUUGUCCGGAAUGACUGGGCGUAAAGGGAGUGUAGGCGGCAAUAUAAGUUAGAUGUGAAAUCCCGCGGCUCAACCGCGGAACUGCAUCUAAAACUAUAUAGCUGGAGUGCAGGAGAGGG
rnacentral:rRNA from 1 species